CUUCCUCUUCCCCGAGUUUCUUCUUCCUCUUCCCUCUGCUCGGCGCCGAGAGCCUCAGCUCCGGCCACCAACUUAGCUCGCCAUCACCACCAUCAUAUUCUCCGUCCAAAACCAUGCCAACUCAACCCAGAAUUUUGAGGUACACCCCCACCUCUCAUCUCUGCCUUCAUCAGCUGAUCUGUCAAUUCCUCCUCUUCCGGUGAUUUCUUCUCUUGCCAUCACCGUCGCACAACCCCAUAGACGAAAGAGUUAGAACCCAUAAAUUUGGGUAUCGAUGAAGCUCUGUGGACAGCAGUCCCGACGGCUGGGGUUUCCGGAUUCGACUUCGAUAACAAGGAGAAGCUACUAAGUGUGAUUCUGACUUCAGAGGCGGGAAUUUAAGGUAAGCUGGACUUCAGUUUUAAGGAUAGAGUUCGGUGAUUUCGAAGAUUUGGAUUUAGUUUGGUUAGUAAGUUUUGGUAUGUUGCUGCUUUGAACUAUAAGGCUGCUAUGAUUUCCGUUGGAAUGGAAUUCUUGUAAUUAUUAGAGAAUCUGUACAAUCCAUAUAUGUUGAAUGAUGGAAAUUGGUGACAAUUUGCUUUUAUGUUGUGAA